AGCUUCUUCAUAAAGGUCAUUCCUAUAGGUAAGUCUUUGCUUGCACAUUAUCUUUCUUCUUUACUUGAUGUAGAGGUGCAAAGAGUCAUCUUGUGUCUUCCAUCUUUAAAAGAGAUUUUCCUUGUUACACAAUUAAUUUUUUUAUUUUCCAUCUCUAGCCAUGGAAAACCAAGGAUAACAUCAUACCUUAGCUUUGUCACCUUAAAUCUCUUUCUUAAG
rnacentral:lncRNA from 1 species